AGCAGCCGCGGUAAUUCCAGCUCCAAUAGCGUAUAUUAAAGUUGUUGCAGUUAAAAAGCUCGUAGUUGAACUUCAGGCCUGGCUGGGCGGUCCGCCUUCCGGGCGAGUACUGCCUGUGGUCGGGUCCUACCUUCUGGCGAAGCGUCAUGGCCUUAACCGGCCGUGGCGGGGAACCAGGACUUUUACUGUGAAAAAUUAGAGUGUUCAAAGCAGGCACGCGCUUGAAUACAUUAGCAUGGAAUAAUGGAAUAGGACAGUGGUCCUAUUUGUUGGUUUCUAGGACCGUUGUAAUGAUUAAUAGGGAUAGUUGGGGGCAUUAGUAUUCAAUUGUCAGAGGUGAAAUUCUUGGAUUUAUUGAAGACUAACUACUGCGAAAGCAUUUGCCAAGGAUGUUUUCAUUAAUCAAGAACGAAAGUUAGGGGAUCGAAGACGAUCAGAUACCGUCGUAGU
rnacentral:rRNA from 1 species